rnacentral:lncRNA from 1 species
UUUCGAAUGGCUGAUGAUGGCUGGUGGGCCGGGGGUGCUUCCGAAUAAAAGGUUUUUUUGGGAAUUUGCUCCUAGACUGCUCAUUUUGUGCUGGAAAUGGGUUAAUCACUCCUUAGAAAAAUCAUUCCAUUUUUUUUAUAAAAAUUAUAUCAAUAGAAGAUGGAUUAUCUUGCUGUUUGAUAUAUUGUACUGCAGUUUUGAGUGCUUUCUUUUCUCUCAAAUGAUUUUUUUUUUCUCUCUGCUCAUAUCUUUACAAAAAUAUGGAUAGUUAAAAUGAGAUCAACUAAGUAAAAGUUUAUUGUAUUUUAAACAUUCAUAUUAGACUUAAAACAUGUAAUGAUGAGCAUUUCAUGUCAUUAUGGAUAUUGAUGACAAUGAAUUUAACCCAGAAUGUCUGUCAGUUUUAUGCUACUAUGAUAGAACAGCCACAUGAAACAGUAUUGCAAUGACUGUAAAAAAUCUUGUAGUUGCCCAAAACUCAAGAUGCAAAAAAUCAAAUAUAGCAUUAGUAUCUCCCUUGGAACCCAAUGUAAAUUUGAUUAGAAAAGAAAAAAAUAAUAUAGUUUGUACAGAAUUCCUUUGUUAAACACAGAAAAUAAAAAUGAAAGCAGGUAUAUAGGCAUUACAAGAUGAUCAUCAAUAAAUAUAUUAAAAUAUAACAAGAGUAAUAUAAAAUUAAUUUGAGAAAAUAAACUUUAACACAAGAAAAUACAGAAAAAACAUUCACAUAGGAUGAGGCCAAGCUAAAAUUAUUAAGGAGAUGAUAAUAAUAAUAAUAAUAAACUUGAAAGAUCCACUUAAAAGAAAAAAAAUUUAUAUAUAUACACAAUAGCUGUUCAUUAUUAUAAAACCUGGAAAUUCCUGAUAAACUAUAAAAACUAUAUAACCUAUAUAAAUAAUAACCAUUAUAUAAGCAUUGAAUAAUAAUACAGC